rnacentral:rRNA from 1 species
UACGUAGGGUGCAAGCGUUAAUCGGAAUUACUGGGCGUAAAGCGUGCGCAGGCGGCUUUGCAAGACAGAUGUGAAAUCCCCGGGCUUAACCUGGGAACUGCAUUUGUGACUGCAUGGCUAGAGUACGGUAGAGGGGGAUGGAAUUCCGCGUGUAGCAGUGAAAUGCGUAGAUAUGCGGAGGAACACCGAUGGCGAAGGCAGCCCCCUGGGUCAAGAUUGACGCUCAUGCACGAAAGCGUGGGGAGCAAACAGG